UUACAGAUACAAGAAAAAAGUAUCCUUGCACUUUUUCUGUCUGACUGUGGCAGCCAAGAUUGCAUGGGGGAAUUCAGGA
ensembl:snoRNA